UAGGGACGUACAGUAAUGACAUGAACUGGUGAGUAAUUUCUUGAUUUUGCAAUACCACCUAGGGAUAGGGGUAGGACGAUCAAUUGCGCUAACUUCUGUUUAUAAUGCGGUAUUAAUUGCUAGGGGAGGCUAGGGAUAGCAAGCCAGUAGUUAAUAUUAGGCUCUUUUUGCCAAGGGAUCGGGUUAAGGGGAGGCUAAGAAAGUCACAUAACAAUUAAUUAAUCAAACUAAUAUUCAAGAGAAGUAGGUAAGAGAGAGCAGAUUAGAUGAAAUUGUAAACCCCCAACAACAUCCAUUCAUCNAUUGUUUUCUUUUGUCAAUUGAAUCAACUUUAUUUUGCAUGUUAAUAUUUUUGUUCUCUAAUC
rnacentral:lncRNA from 1 species